rnacentral:misc_RNA from 1 species
UUAAGUUCAGCGGGUAGUCCUACCUGAUUUGAGGUCAGACGACAUGAAAUUGUCCGAAGACGAUUGAAGAGCAUCCUUACACGCGAGACGCGGAACGGCGCCAGAAGUAGACUUAUCACACCGUUGUGACCGAUCUCGCGACGGAACGCUAAUGCAUUUCAAGACGAGCAGCUCGUUAAAAGGACUGCAACAUCCAAAUC